rnacentral:rRNA from 1 species
AAAGUAAGGGCGUAUGGGGAAUGCCUAGGCUCUCAGAGGCGAAGAAGGACGUGAUAAGCUGCGAAAAGCUACGGGGAUCGGCACACACGAUAUGAUCCGUAGAUAUCCGAAUGGGGCAACCCGUUAUAUUGAAGAUAUAACAUCCCGCAAGGGAGGCAAACCCGGGGAACUGAAACAUCUAAGUACCCUUAGGAAAAGAAAUCAACCGAGAUUCCCCUAGUAGCGGCGAGCGAACGGGGAGCAGCCCUUAAGCUGUAUUGAAUGUAGUGGAAUCCUUUGGGAAGAGGAGCGAUACAAGGUGAUAGCCCUGUACACGACGCAAUCUUUACAGUGAAAUCGAGUAGGUCGGGACACGUGUUAUCUUGACUGAAUAUGGGGGGACCAUCCUCCAAGGCUAAAUACUCCUAGCUGACCGAUAGUGAACUAGUACCGUGAGGGAAAGGCGAAAAGAACCCCGGUGAGGGGAGUGAAAUAGACCCUGAAACCGAAUGCCUACAAU